UAGUGGGUUGCGGAUAACGGUAGCCGGUAGGCACAGAUCCGAUAUCCUAAAAUUUGGAAUACAUAAAUUAGGAUCCAUUAGAUCCGUCAACAUCUGCAAGUAAUUAUUUAUAUUACAUGCGGAUCCGACAUCCGCAACACUACGA